GAUGAACGCUGGCGGCGUGCUUAACACAUGCAAGUCGAACGGAAAGGCUCCUGCUUGCAGGGGUACUCGAGUGGCGAACGGGUGAGUAACACGUGGGUGAUCUGCCCAGCACUUCGGGAUAAGCCUGGGAAACUGGGUCUAAUACCGGAUAGGACGAUGGUUUGGAUGCCAUUGUGGAAAGUUUUUUCGGUGUGGGAUAAGCUCGCGGCCUAUCAGCUUGUUGGUGGGGUAAUGGCCUACCAAGGCGUCGACGGGUAGCCGGCCUGAGAGGGUGUACGGCCACAUUGGGACUGAGAUACGGCCCAGACUCCUACGGGAGGCAGCAGUGGGGAAUAUUGCACAAUGGGCGCAAGCCUGAUGCGGCGACGCCGCGUGGGGGAUGACGGCCUUCGGGUUGUAAACUCCUUUCGCUAGGGACGAAGCGCAAGUGACGGUACCUGGAGAAGAAGCACCGGCUAACUACGUG
rnacentral:rRNA from 1 species